CCUACGGGAGGCAGCAGUGAGGAAUAUUGGUCAAUGGACGAGAGUCUGAACCAGCCAAGUAGCGUGAAGGAUGACUGCCCUAUGGGUUGUAAACUUCUUUUAUAUGGGAAUAAAAUGUUCCACGUGUGGGAUUUUGUAUGUACCAUAUGAAUAAGGAUCGGCUAACUCCGUGCCAGCAGCCGCGGUAAUACGGAGGAUCCGAGCGUUAUCCGGAUUUAUUGGGUUUAAAGGGAGCGUAGGUGGAUUGUUAAGUCAGUUGUGAAAGUUUGCGGAUCAACCGGAAAAUUGCAGUUGAAACUGGCAGUCUUGAGUACAGUAGAGGUGGGCGGAAUUCGUGGUGUAGCGGUGAAAUGCUUAGAUAUCACGAAGAACUCCGAUUGCGAAGGCAGUUCACUGGACUGCAACUGACACUGAGGCUCGAAAGUGUGGGUAUCAAACAGGAUUAGAUACCCGUGUAGUC
rnacentral:rRNA from 1 species